UAUCAGUCAUGCAUAGCAUAUCAAUAAGCGGAGGAAAAGAAACUAACAAGGAUUCCCUUAGUAACGGCGAGUGAAGCGGGAAGAGCUCAAAUUUGAAAUCUUCAAGGUUCUACCUUGACGAAUUGUAGUUUAUAGAAGUGUUUUCUGUUAGUAGAGUUUGGUAAAAGUUCUUUGGAAUAGGACAUCAUAGAGGGUGAGAAUCCCGUAUUUGGUACCAUUAUUUCCUAGCUUUGUGGAUACACUUUCAACGAGUCGGAUUGUUUGGGAAUGCAGUCCAAAAUGGGUGGUAAAUUUCAUCUAAAGCUAAAUACUGGCGAGAGACCGAUAGCGAACAAGUACCGUGAGGGAAAGAUGAAAAGAACUUUGAAAAGAGAGUUAAACAGUACGUGAAAUUGUCAAAAGGGAAGCGUUUGACACCAGUGUUGUUUUCUCGAAAAUCAAUUAAAAAUGGCGGGAUUUUGUGUUGUAUUGACUUUAUCAGCUUUCUGCACUUUUUUCCUGUCUUUUUUAAUGCACUUUUCGUUUAACAAGUCAACAUCAAUUUCUUUUGUUGUAAAAGGGUCAUGAGGAAGGUGGCUUUCUUUUCGGAGAAAGUGUUUAUAGCCUUGUGCCUCUGCAAUCGGAGAGAUUGAGGUCUGCAGCGUAGAUCCUUCGGGGUUAGAUAGCAUUUGUGCUAAGUUAUAGCUUUUCAUAGACAACUUGUUGACUAUGAUUCAGUCAUUGUAGCUUACUCGCUUACUGCUAUUUUACCUACGCUUAGGAUGUUGAUCUCUCACAGUCGAGC
rnacentral:rRNA from 1 species